AGCUUUAUAGUUAAUGAAUUAUAAUAUUAAAUUGCAAGUUUAAUGUAACUUAGAAAGUUAAGGCUU
rnacentral:tRNA from 1 species